GUUUGUUGUCUGAUUAUAGUGUUUUUGAGUUUGGAUUGUUGUCUGACUAUAGUGUAGUGUUGUCUGAGUUGGUGUUUUUAUAGAGAAGCUAGCGCCUUUCGUAACGGCUAUAUUUCUCUUAAAGGUUUGAGUCUGGUCUCGAUCGCUACAAAACACGUGCGUUUCUCCUAACGGUAAUAAUGUUGGAAUCGAACCGGUCUUGCAACCACCUAAACCGGUCUUGCAACUUCUUCUCGAAGAUGAGCUAUACUAACUGAUGAAGAAGAAAGACGAUAUGCCUGUUUAGUCUUAAAGACAGAUCUUUGCUUUUGCAUGAGGCUCCUUCGUUGGUGAUUAUACUGGUGGGUUGAGAAUGAAAUGCCUAACAUUGACUUUUGGUAUAGUCAUUCUGGGUUCUAUAAAAUUGUCUUUAUGUAUAUUUACUCUGUUUUGUUCUCCUCACUGAUCUUCGGCAUUUCCAUGUCAUUACAAGUAUUAUUUGAGUCAUUAUAGGUAAUUACCCGCGCUAUGCUGCGGGAUUUUUCUUUAA